ensembl:lncRNA
AUGUCCAGUAUUUUUUUUUCUUGUCUUGCAUGUCAGACACUCAAAACUAUGUUUCACCUUCCCACCUUACAAACAACGCGAGCAUGUCCACCCCAUCGCCAGCUUAACCUGACACGCAUCUGUGCCGGUUUUUUCUUUUCUUUUUCCCCCGCUUGCUUUUUCUGGUUUGGUUUUGUUUUAAUCAGAUGGAGGGUCUCUACUGACGAUGUCACGUCUGGGCUCACACACGCACGCACGCACGCUCAGAAGGACAGUGGGCUGUCCGGUGUAGCAUCAUUAGCUCAGCGGAGACGUGGCGGCCCUGACACAUGUCGAGCGGCGUGCAGCCAACCCACGGACGAGCACGAGUCGCUCCUGCAUAAUUUGAAGUCAUCCAUGGCAGUGCUUUGAGAAUCCUUCCCCGCGUUCCCCAUGACUUGAACGGAGCAUCGCUCAGCGCCGUGAUGGCUCUAUUCAUACUCAGGUAUGCCCGGCAUGUACUUGAGAUUCAUAAACAUUUUCACCGUUAGCAAUUUUUAUUCCUCAAAAGCACACGUCCCAUAACUGUCACAGACAGAUGCUUGCUUGGAAUGAUGUAUGAAUGCUUGGAAUGACAUGACUGGCUGCUUUGAGCGGCAAUGUUUAGAGUCUAUUAAUUUUACAGUGCUGUUUGGAAUUAUCCAUCUGUUUAAAGGUUAACUGCCUUCUUGCUUGUGAAGAGUACAUUUCUCACCCACACUCAAGCUUAACACACGUAAGAACAUUACCAUCAUCGCCGCACGCAAGUUUUACCACAGUACACCGUGCACGUCAAGCGGCAAAGCCCAUUAAAGUGGUAUCGGGCGGUGCGACUCUCUCCGCUACUUUAACGGGCCUGCUCGGUUGUACACUUCUGUACGAGAUGUAUUAUCAGGCAAACAAUCCACUUAAUGCCCAAAGUGAAGUGAAGAGGCGUUUUUACAAGUCUUUAGAUGAGCCUCGCUUUCAUGGGCGCUGUCCGUACUCUGAUUUAGCACGCUAGCCUGCCACUUGACUGUCAGUCGGCCAGAGUAAUCUCUCCCCGUCAGCUGCCAGCGAGGGUGAAGUUCAUCUUUGCAAUAACGUUAAAUGCACUGGCGCUUCAUCCUUCAUGAAUAUGAAUGGCUAUAUAAAUAGGAAAGUUGAAGAGCAGAUAGAUCGGGUGGCUGUCACUUCAAACUUCCUAAUCAUCUCCGCUAAAAGCAUGCCUUGCCAAGCAACGCGAAUCAGUCGGAAUUGACAUGGACCUUUGGUAGGUUACGCUGUUUUGGUUUGUUUUUACCACUCAACCUAUCAAAUGUAUCUCCCUUGCGAGAUUCUCAUGGGACGGGUGUAUCAGCUGCAGCACGCUAUGGCGGCCGAUUACAAGACGUGUCUUAUCUUUGAUAAUGCAGUGCGUGGUCUCCUGAGGUUUGCACCUACUGUGAAGCACAUAACGAUUCCUAAUUCAUUGUAACUCAAAAUAAUAACCGUUGAAGCUUACUGCUUGUAGGAAAAUGAGGUGAAAUUGAUAUAAAUAAUUAUUAAGGUACAUCAGCAGUGAUACAGCUAGUAUGUCGCCUUUAAAGGAACAAUUCACCCAAAUAUGAAAAUUCUGUCAUCAUUUAUUCACCAUCAUGUCGUUCCAACCUGUAUGAAUUUUUUUUUGGAACCCAAAAUAUGUUUUUUUUUUUUUAAUCCAAGUUCUUCUGAAGUCAAAUCUAUGGAAGCUUAUUUCCAACACAGAAUUAAAAAAAUAUAAACUUCUUUUUUUUUUUUUUUUUUUUUCAGAAGUGCGAGAUAUGAACCCAAAAUUGCUAGAUAUAAACUUGUUGACAAUAAAGUCAGAAAGGUAAUAAACA